GAAGUCCGCCAGGCAAUCGCUGAUUCUUUGUGCAAGCAAGGGGUUGGAGGAAAGUCCGGGCUCCACAGGACAGGAUGCCGGCUAACGGCCGGGCGUUAUAAGGCGGGGGCAACCUCGCUCAAGGCGACGGAAAGUGCAACAGAGAACAGACCGCCUGAGCGCAAGCGAAGGCAAGGGUGAAACGGCGAGGUAAGAGCUCACCGCGGACGUGGUAACACGGACGGCAUGGCAAACCCCAUCCGGAGCAAGGCCAAAUAAGGGCACUAUGACGUGGUCCGCGUCGUGUCCGGGUAGGCUGCACGAGGUCGUCAGUAAUGGCGAUCCCAGAGGAAUGGUUGCCCACGACAGAACCCGGCUUAUCGGCGGGCUUCCCAC
rnacentral:RNase_P_RNA from 1 species